UCAACAACAUCAAUCUAUUAUGCGUAUCAUAUGAUGUGCCUGAUAUGAACAAAAAAAAAAAAUACAAUUAAAAUCAUCAGGAAGAAAAUAAAAAAAAAUAGAAAAAUAAAGUUUAAAAAAGGUUCGGGUACUUUAGCAUGAGAAGACAUUCCUGAGAAGAUAUCUCGCGCAUGCACACAAAGCAGACGAUUAUCUUAAGUACGAAUUUUCAAUGAUCGUUCGAAGAACUUUCGACCUUAACGUUUCUUCAGGGUUUGACGUUAGAAAAGAAUAGAAAGUAAAUAGGAAGAAGAGAGAUAGAAUGACAACCGAUGUACAUAUAACACACAAAGAAAUAUAGAGAGGUGGAAGAGGAGGAAUAGGGGGUAGAGGAGGGAAAAAGAGGGAUAGAAUGAGGAUAAGGGGAGUUAGAGGAAAAGGGUAGGAGUUAAAUAUCUCUCUCGAGCGAAGGAGAAAGGAGGAAUCGGCCGGCACAUGGGUCUCUCACUGCGGGUCGAUACUCUAGCACUGGAGUGAACGCUCGGUACACUUGCACUCGGCCGAGUACAUCUGCACCGGGGAUUGCCUGCUUGCUUGCUUGCUUGCCUGCCUGCCUGCCUGCCAGCCUGGCCACUCGCCCUGGCCACUACUCUUAGGCCAAGUGAAUAUCGGAGGCUAAUGUCUCUCUGUUACUACGUGGAAAAAGAGAAGAAAAAAAAGAAAAUGCUUUCGUCUAUAGCUGUAGCAUCUUGAAGAAUUUUAUCUCCAAGUGGAAGAAGAGUCCCAGCAGCACCUUUCAGAAGAAACAUAUGUCUACUCUUUUGUAUAUAUGUACUUUACAUUGUACGUACAUACACAUAUACUCUAUUUUACGCGAGCAAGGGUAUACAUUGCACCUACGUGGAUAAAAAAAGAGAACACACGUGGCAACCUUUGUCUACCGUCAAAGCAUAUCGAUUGCAAGUUGUAUCCCAUGGAAGUCCUUUGCAACGCCGACAUCAACAACUACAUCACCUGAAACGAUGAAUAUUUAUCAGUUUCACUUACCAACGGAAAUCCCGAAGAAGUACUCGAAGUCAUUACUCGGAUCUAUUGAAAGU